UUCCCCAGAUUCCUGCGAGACAAUGACCAACACAAAGCAGGGGGGUUCUCUCCGUCUCAUACCUUGCUGCAUAUGCCGACAGAACCCUCUGACUGUACUCUGCGAACAAACACCGUAUCUACCAGCAAUUAAAAAGAGUGACUUUUACGCAAUACCAAUCAUAUAAUCAAACAUUACUUUUACAUCCUGCUAAUGAAAACCAUGAAUACCGUUUAAACGGGUCCAAAAAUAUAAGAAUUCCAGUUCCUAAACACCGAAUGCGUUUAAUAUAUCAAUCCAAAAUACAUUUGGUUACAUUCGCGAGUUCGCCAGCACUUGAUAUUAUUUGGAAAACAACUUCAUCCAGUGAUCAGCAUAGACUACGGGCAAAAAUUUUUAAUCUUUUUCAACGUGACAGCUAAAUAAAGUGACAUUUCUAAGAGUGCAGAGCCCGAAUAAAAUUAUUGGCCUUCAUCAUACAACAAAAUUACUAACAUAUAUUUCUGAAUUCUAUUUUUGACACAAGUUGAUUAAUAUUUUCCCUUUAAAACUCUGAACAUUUAUUUCAUAUGUACAGUUCUGAAAACAGCUGGUCGCCAUCACACAAACUAGGCCGGCUGCGUUUUUUUCCCGUUAAGUUAUUACAGGUACUCACUGUAAAAACGCUGGGCAGUUUUUGCCCAAUGUCGGGUUACUACCAGGCGAAUCACCCGACUGUUGGGCAAACUGUCGGGUGAUUUAUUGCCAAACUUGUCUCUUGACCCAACGGUUGCUCCUUUCGCCCAACAGUUAAGCGAUUUACCUGGUACCAAACGUUGGGCAAAAAUUGUCCAGCCUUUUUACAGCGCACAACUACAGAUUUCUGGAAGUGCCAUCUGAUUUGUUGAGAUCCUGACUUUUUUUCUCCGGAUGAUGACAUAAUACAGGCAAGAUGUCGACAACCCCAUGUAAUUCAUCACAGGAUGAAGACAUCCUAAACGUUGGGUGUCAACAUCCUGAGAUAAAAUCUAAAAUCAGGAUCUAGACACGUAGAAUGGCACUUCUAGAGCUCAGUGCACUAAAAUGUAUUGCACAAUUACGAUGUCGUCAUCCCCUUGAUAAAUUAUCUCAGGAAGUCUAAAUCUUGUGUGUACGAUGUCGUCAUUCUAACAUCCCGAGAAAAACUGUCAGGAUCUCAACAAGUCAGAUGGCACUUCCUGAGCCCCGUACAUAGCUUUUAUUCAAGUCGAGUUUCCUGAACUUGUGGGAAAAAAAUAAAUAAAAAAAAUGCAGGCAGGCUGAAAAAUUUGCUCGGAAGACAAAGCAACAAAAUGAGCCAUUUCAAUGAGUGUGCUCAGUAUUCCAACAGCUUAUAGACCUACUCAAAAUGAAGCGUGUCCGAGUGUGCCACGCUGAUAGGGCACAGCUCCAAUGCGCACUGCUGUUCCCGAAUACCUCUGACGUGCUUCCGUUUGGGCAUGCGCCGUUACAAGACCGAGCUGGCUCACUAAAAGCAACAGAGCAACUCCGACCGUAAGUAUCAUUCAAUGCUUCUUCAUUCAAGUGAGAAAAAUGGUCAUUUUACUAAGAGUACUGCAAGGCGAUUUAAAGGGCAGAAAUACAAAAGGUCAGACAUGCUUCAACGAUAUUGACACAUGGAGAUUUUCUUAAUUUCCCUCAGGGCCAAACUGUUCAGGCAAAACAAUGGAUUUGCAGAUAAACUGAUAACCAACAUUGCUAUUUCUUUGAAACUGAAUUUUUCAAAAGGUUCACUGUGGGAAGGGAGCAAAACAAAAUCGCAUUAAUGCUGGACUCGCCCUAAAUUACGAACUCAGACACCAUACCACACUGAAGAACAAAAACACCAGUCACUGAACUAAACGCAAACAACAAUUUAUAUGUGCAUUGAAUAAUACUAAUUUAGAGUGUAUUUAAAAACAACUAUGCGUUAAGUAAAAUGGGAAUGUAUAUUGAAUGGUAAAAAGUGAAACUGAUUGAUCACAAAUAUACACAAAUUCCUCUCUGAUUAGGAUUAUUUUGGUGUUUCAAAAAAAUAAAUUUA